CUCCAGUGACCUAAUCUUUGAAUCCAUUGCAUUGAUCAUCGCUUUCUGUUCAGCCAGGACUUUACAUUUCUCACGCGCUUCUUCUUCGUGUCUUCUGAGCAUAUUCUCAAGUGCUUCCUUAUCAGCAAGAUCUUUCUUCAUCUGGUUUUCCAAAACUUUGAGUUUUUCCUCAUAGAAUUGUUCCUUCUGUUUCAGCUGCAACUCCAGAUGCUGUGCUGAGAUCUGAGCCUCUCGAUGCUUUUCUUCCAGCUCCAGAAUUUUUUCUGCCAUCUGUUGAAUCUGUUGAGAUUUAGUCUGAAUAUCUUCCUUUAGACGGUUUUCUCUUCGUUCCACAGUCUCUAAUCUCUUCACUUGAUUCUCCAGAGAAUGGCGCCGUUCCUCUGCUUCAAGCAAUUUCUUCUUCAUGCUUUCAUUAGAAUCUUCCCGAUUUUGAAGUUUCU
rnacentral:lncRNA from 1 species